UUUUUUUCCUAACCACUUCAGGUUCCUCGCUGAAGCAUGAAGGCAUUGAUGAAGAGCGCUGAUUUCUGUUGUCUUGAAUUCUGUGCCAUCAAAUGAACAGCAUGAAAUGGAAUCAACAUGGAGAACUUGAGUACGACAUUUCUGAGUAUGUGUGUGCAGCAAUUAGGAUGCUGAAGUCAAAUAGCAUCUCACUCCCACCCCCAUUCUAAUCCCCUGCUUUGGUGGCUUUGAUAUUAAACAUUUAUUCUGGCUCAAGAUAAAACAAAACAACAACAAAAACCUAACAACCUCUACUGGUCCUCACUGGAUUCCUUAAUUCACUUUGUGAUUUUUCUUUGCCUAGAAGGAAGUAGUUCAUUAACUCAAAGAAUAUCUGAAAUCACCAUGCAUUGACCUGGCUGCUAUAUCAUGAAACUAUUAUGACUGCUGCUCAGACACAAACAUGGGUGGAGAUGUGCUAUGGACUGAACUGUGUCCCUGAAAAUUCAUAUGUUCUUAAGGUCCUAUCUCAACAUAACUAUUUGGAGAUAGGAUCUAAGGGAGAUAAUUAAGUUUAAGUGAGGUAAUCCAUGUGGGACUCUAAUCUUAUAGGAUUAAGAAUAACAUCAGAGACUUGUUUUUGCUCAUUCAUUCUCACUCAUUUGAAUGAUCUCUGAUUUCUGUUCUCUUUCUUUCUCCCUCUGGCAUCUGAGGACACAGGGAGAAAAGGUGGCCAUCUGCAAGCCAAGAACCUAAUCAGCCAGUAACUUGACCCUAGAUUCCCUAGUCUCCAGAAUGGCCUGAAAUAAACUUCUGUUGUUUAAGCUGCUUAGUCCAUGGU
rnacentral:lncRNA from 1 species